rnacentral:rRNA from 1 species
AUGAACGCUAGCUACAGGCUUAACACAUGCAAGUCGAGGGGCAUCAGGAAGAAAGCUUGCUUUCUUUGCUGGCGACCGGCGCACGGGUGAGUAACACGUAUCCAACCUGCCCUUUACUCGGGGAUAGCCUUUCGAAAGAAAGAUUAAUACCCGAUAGUAUAAUGAUUCCGCAUGGUUUGAUUAUUAAAGGAUUCCGGUAAAGGAUGGGGAUGCGUUCCAUUAGGUUGUUGGUGAGGUAACGGCUCACCAAGCCUUCGAUGGAUAGGGGUUCUGAGAGGAAGGUCCCCCACAUUGGAACUGAGACACGGUCCAAACUCCUACGGGAGGCAGCAGUGAGGAAUAUUGGUCAAUGGGCGAUGGCCUGAACCAGCCAAGUAGCGUGAAGGAUGACUGCCCUAUGGGUUGUAAACUUCUUUUAUAUUAGAAUAAAGUGCAGUAUGUAUACUGUUUUGUAUGUAUAAUAUGAAUAAGGAUCGGCUAACUCCGUGCCAGCAGCCGCGGUAAUACGGAGGAUCCGAGCGUUAUCCGGAUUUAUUGGGUUUAAAGGGAGCGUAGGUGGACUGGUAAGUCAGUUGUGAAAGUUUGCGGCUCAACCGUAAAAUUGCAGUUGAUACUGUCAGUCUUGAGUACAGUAGAGGUGGGCGGAAUUCGUGGUGUAGCGGUGAAAUGCUUAGAUAUCACGAAGAACUCCGAUUGCGAAGGCAGCUCACUGGACUGCAACUGACACUGAUGCUCGAAAGUGUGGGUAUCAAACAGGAUUAGAUACCCUGGUAGUCCACACAGUAAACGAUGAAUACUCGCUGUUUGCGAUAUACAGUAAGCGGCCAAGCGAAAGCAUUAAGUAUUCCACCUGGGGAGUACGCCGGCAACGGUGAAACUCAAAGGAAUUGACGGGGGCCCGCACAAGCGGAGGAACAUGUGGUUUAAUUCGAUGAUACGCGAGGAACCUUACCCGGGCUUAAAUUGCAGUGGAAUGAUGUGGAAACAUGUCAGUGAGCAAUCACCGCUGUGAAGGUGCUGCAUGGUUGUCGUCAGCUCGUGCCGUGAGGUGUCGGCUUAAGUGCCAUAACGAGCGCAACCCUUAUCUUUAGUUACUAACAGGUCAUGCUGAGGACUCUAGAGAGACUGCCGUCGUAAGAUGUGAGGAAGGUGGGGAUGACGUCAAAUCAGCACGGCCCUUACGUCCGGGGCUACACACGUGUUACAAUGGGGGGUACAGAAGGCAGCUACCCGGUGACAGGAUGCUAAUCCCAAAAGCCUCUCUCAGUUCGGAUCGAAGUCUGCAACCCGACUUCGUGAAGCUGGAUUCGCUAGUAAUCGCGCAUCAGCCACGGCGCGGUGAAUACGUUCCCGGGCCUUGUACACACCGCCCGUCAAGCCAUGGGAGCCGGGGGUACCUGAAGUACGUAACCGCAAGGAGCGUCCUAGGGUAAAACUGGUGACUGGGGCU